AACUCUUAGCGGUGGAUCACUGGGCUCGUGCGUCGAUGAAGAACGCAGCUAGCUGCGAGAACUAGUGUGAUUUGCAGGACACAUUGAUCUGCGGUGUUUUCGAAGCGAACUCAACGCUGCUCUGUAGAAACUUGUUUUGAAAUAA
rnacentral:rRNA from 1 species